AACGAACGCUGGCGGCAUGCCUAACACAUGCAAGUCGAACGAGACCUUCGGGUCUAGUGGCGCACGGGUGCGUAACGCGUGGGAACCUGCCCUUAGGUUCGGAAUAACGCCCCGAAAGGGGUGCUAAUACCGGAUAAUGUCUUCGGACCAAAGAUUUAUCGCCUUUGGAGGGGCCCGCGUUGGAUUAGCUAGUUGGUAGGGUAAAAGCCUACCAAGGCGACGAGACAUAGCUGGUCUGAGAGGAUGAUCAGCGACACUGGGACUGAGACACGGCCCAGACUCCUACGGGAGGCAGCAGUGGGGAAUAUUGGACAAUGGGCGAAAGCCUGAUCCAGCAAUGCCGCGUGAGUGAUGAAGGCCUUAGGGUUGUAAAGCUCUUUUACCCGGGAUGAUAAUGACAGUACCGGGAGAAUAAGCUCCGGCUAACUCCGUG
rnacentral:rRNA from 1 species